UACCGACUCGCUAGCCCGACCAAACAAAAACAACAAAACACAAUAACUAAACCCCAAGACACCAAUACCCACAUAAACAAACCAUUUUUCCCCUUUAGUAUGGGCGACAGAAAAAGAAC
rnacentral:rRNA from 1 species